ACCUGGAUGGCUCAGUUGGUUAAGCGUCUGACUUUGGCUCAGGUCAUCUCGCAGUCAGUGGGUUUGAGCCCCACGUCAGGCU
rfam:Felis catus isolate Cinnamon breed Abyssinian chromosome F1, whole genome shotgun sequence.